rnacentral:rRNA from 1 species
CUGCAUCUGAUACUGUUAAGCUAGAGUAGGUGAGAGGGAAGUAGAAUUCCAGGUGUAGCGGUGAAAUGCGUAGAGAUCUGGAGGAAUACCGAUGGCGAAGGCAGCUUCCUGGCAUCAUACUGACACUGAGGCUCGAAAGCGUGGGUAGCAAACAGGAUUAGAUACCCUGGUAGUCCACGCCGUAAACGAUGUCUACUAGUCGUUGGGUCCCCUGAGGACUUAGUGACGCAGCUAACGCAAUAAGUAGACCGCCUGGGGAGUACGGCCGCAAGGUUAAAACUCAAAUGAAUUGNCGGGGGCCCGCACCAGCGGUGGAGCAUGUGGUUUANUUNGAUGCAACGCGAAGAACCUUACCUGGUCUUGACAUACACAGAAUCUUGUAGAGAUACGAGAGUGCCUUCGGGAAUUGUGAUACAGGUGCUGCAUGGCUGUCGUCAGCUNGUGUCGUGAGAUGUUGGGUUAAGUCCCGCAACGAGCGCAACCCUUGUCCUUAGUUACCAGCGGGUUAAGCCGGGAACUCUAAGGAUACUGCCAGUGACAAACUGGAGGAAGGCGGGGACGACGUCAAGUCAUCAUGGCCCUUACGACCAGGGCUACACACGUGCUACAAUGGUAGGUACAGAGGGCAGCUACACAGCGAUGUGAUGCGAAUCUCAAAAAGCCUAUCGUAGUCCAGAUUGGAGUCUGCAACUCGACUCCAUGAAGUAGGAAUCGCUAGUAAUCGCGGAUCAGAAUGCCGCGGUGAAUACGUUCCCGGGCCUUGUACACACCGCCCGUCACACCAUGGGAGUUGAUUGCACCAGAAGUGGUUAGCCGA